rfam:Glycine soja cultivar W05 scaffold1558_3, whole genome shotgun sequence.
UUCUUAUUGAAUGAUGACUGCCACGUGUCAUGUUUUGAUUGAUCAAUGAAAACAAUAAUUUAUUUCAUCUUUCAUGGAGUUGAUAUCCAAUCAGAACAUGACACGUGGCAAUCAACAUCA